rnacentral:lncRNA from 1 species
CUUAUGUUAUUUGAUUGUAAUCAUCAAGAUGUUCCUAGGACUUUUGUGUUCCAGUAGUCUAGUUUAAUUGUUAAACAUAUUUUUAAUUGUUGAAUGCAUAUAAAAAUUUUUAAAAUUUAUAUUUCACUGCAUCACUAGAACUCAACAGUGAUAGCAGAUCCACCCUUGAUUGAUUCAAUCAAAUUUCAUGUUAUUAUUGUGACAUAGCU